rnacentral:sRNA from 1 species
UUUCAAAAAUGCUUUCCAACAUUGAACUUCUCUCUCCUGCUAGCCCUAAAAGAAGAUCCCCCUAGAAAUCUCCUGGAAGAGAGGAAAUCAGAUCAACUGGGGCUGCCUCAGACCUUGCAGCAGGAAUUCUCCCUGAUCAAUGUGCAAAUCCGGAAUGUCAAUGUGGAGAUGGAUGCGGCAGACAGGAGCUGCACAGUGUCUGUGCACUGCAGCAACCAUCGCGUCAAGAUGCUGGUGAAGUUCCCUGCGCAGUACCCAAACAACGCCGCCCCUUCCUUCCAGUUUAUUAACCCCACAACCAUCACGUCUACCAUGAAAGCUAAGCUGCUAAAGAUCCUGAAGGACACGGCCCUGCAGAAAGUGAAGCGCGGCCAGAGCUGCCUGGAGCCCUGCCUGCGCCAGCUCGUCUCCUGCCUCGAGUCCUUUGUGAACCAGGAAGACAGCGCUUCCAGCAACCCUUUUGCGCUCCCCACCUCUGUCACACCCCCCUUACCGACAUUUGCGCGGGUGACCACAGCCUAUGGGUCGUACCAGGACGCCAACAUUCCCUUUCCUAGGACUU